rnacentral:sRNA from 1 species
AUGGCCCCCCGGCAAGGAUGUCGGGCAGAGACUUACAGGGAUAGAUGGCCAAGGAUUGGCGGCCCGACAAGGAUGUUGGGUUAGGUCUGCGAAACCCCGCUUCGGCGGGGUUUU